ensembl:snRNA U6 U6 spliceosomal RNA
GUGCUUGCUUGGGCAGCACAUAUACUAAAAUUGGAAUGAUACAGAGAAGAUAAGCAUGGCCCCU